rnacentral:rRNA from 1 species
GUAUAAGAGGUCCCGCCUGCCCUGUGACUAUAUGUUUAACGGCCGCGGUAUUUUGACCGUGCGAAGGUAGCGCAAUCACUUGUCUUUUAAAUGGGGACCUGUAUGAAUGGCAUAACGAGGGCUUAACUGUCUCCUCUUUCAAGUCAAUGAAAUUGAUCUCCCCGUGCAGAAGCGAGGAUAGAUACAUAAGACGAGAAGACCCUAUGGAGCUUUAGACACUAAAGCAGAUCAGUAUUAAUACCCUGAACAUAGGCUACGAAUAAACUGACCCCUGCCCUAAUGUCUUUGGUUGGGGCGACCGCGGAGAAAAAUAAAACCCCCGCAAGGACUAAAUGUACUACAUUCACAAACAAGAGCGACAGCUCUAACUAACAGAACUUCUGACCAAUAAGAUCCGGCAAUGCCGAUCAAUGAACCGAGUUACCCUAGGGAUAACAGCGCAAUCUCCUCUUAGAGCCCAUAUCGA